rnacentral:rRNA from 1 species
GAUGAACGCUAGCGAUAGGCUUAACACAUGCAAGUCGAGGGGCAGCAUGGUCUUAGCUUGCUAAGACUGAUGGCGACCGGCGCACGGGUGCGUAACGCGUAUGCAACUUGCCUCACAGAGGGGGAUAACCCGUCGAAAGACGGACUAAUACCGCGUACACUCCAUCUUGGGCAUCCAAGGUAGAGGAAAUGAAAUUCGCUGUGAGAUAGGCAUGCGUCCCAUUAGCUAGUUGGUGAGGUAACGGCUCACCAAGGCGACGAUGGGUAGGGGAACUGAGAGGUGGAACCCCCACACUGGUACUGAGACACGGACCAGACUCCUACGGGAGGCAGCAGUGAGGAAUAUUGGUCAAUGGGCGAGAGCCUGAACCAGCCAAGUCGCGUGAAGGAUGACUGUCUUAUGGAUUGUAAACUUCUUUUAUACGGGAAUAACAAGAGUCACGUGUGGCUCCCUGCAUGUACCGUAUGAAUAAGCAUCGGCUAACUCCGUG